AAUGUGUGUCUAAUGAAUUAGCCACGGAUUGGAGCCUAACAUGGGUAAUUUACACUGAACAUUCGCUCGCUCAGAAUCAUCCAUCAAUUUCUUACCACAUUAAAAUCGACAACCCGCUCUGGGAGUGCCUGCCUGGUGCUGCACCCCGUGUCCCUCCCUGGGUUCUGCUUUGUGUCAGAUCUCAAAGCUGCACUGUGGGGAUGAGGCUGAGGUCCCACAGGGAUAUGAAUGGGGCCAGGCUGCCCCUGGAGCCUGCAGAACUUCUGCAGGAAGUCAAUUAGACCCAACAGAUGGCGGAGAACAUCCCGGCAUCAGCACAUUGUGCCAUCUGCCGCCGCAGGAGAACGGGACGGCCCCGCACCGCAGCGACCCCAAAGCGGGGACCCACAGCACCGCCCGGGGGGAUCCCACGUGCGAUAAGAGCGAGCAGGAGCCGGGCCGAGCCGCGCAGCACGCAGUGCCCGCAGUGCCCGCACAUCCCCGUGCUCGGCAGGUGAGCCGGCAGCUCCGCACCUGCUGCUCCGCGCAAUCAGGAGCUGCUGGUACAAGAGGCAUUGACGCGGCUCUUCCUCAAUCAGCGGCUCUUCACGCCCAGCUCCGUGCCACUCGCUGCUGAUUGCCCUUUGUCUCCCGCAAGGCCUCGCGCUGCGCUGCUCCCGCAAGAUGGAUCGGGUUCCUCAGGGAGGCAGUAAUUAGCGCGGGGAUGAAUGCCGAGGCAGCCAAGCUCCCUCUUCACACGGCGGUGGUGAUUUGUAAACCUGUCACCAAACCACUGAACCCGGCUCGGCGUGAGCAGCUCCAUCUCCGCAGCACGUGGGUGUGCGGCUCAGGUGCUGGGUGAGGCUCAGGGUGAGGGUCGGGGUUGGCAGCAGAGGGGGCUGGAUCCCAGGAGGGGUUGCCCUGCCCCACCUGCAGUGCCCGCACCGCUGCUCUCCUGACUCCCUUCCACCUUCCCACUCCGCUUCAUGGCUUUCGUCUAAUUCCCUGCGCCCCUCUCCUAUUUUUCUUCUUGACAGAAGAAGCAGGCUCAUGCAUCUAGAAACUCCACGGCCUUUCUUGUAGCUGCAGAUUAAAUUUCCCUGCUCAGUGCCUGCUGGCCACAGGCUGAGCAACUAUACCUGAGUGUACGCCCCGGCCCAGGGGGAGAGGCUCUGUGCAGGCCGUGGGGACAUCCCUGCACUGUGCAGGGCCACAGCUUUGGGGCAGAGCUCCUCAGCUCCUGUAUCUCAUGCUCCGCUCUGCCCUUGACCCUGGGGAAGGUGCAGCACGUGGAGGGAGCCCGGCUGUUCUAAUUAAACCAUGUUUGCCAACUCCCGUGGUAAGCAUUGCUAAUUAAAAUUAGGGAGAGCAGCACUGCCUUCCCUGCCUCCUGGAGACGUGAACAAGUUCCCUGCGUGCUGACUGGGCUCGGAAGGUGCUGGGGGCUGCACAGCGCUGCAGGCAGAGUGGAUGGGGCAGCAGGCACAGCUCCACAGGGUGCCAGGCCCAUGGGGUGCCAUGGGGCUGCUGGUGCUGACCCCUCCAUCCCCACGUGGCGUGACUGUGCCCCGCAGCCCAGACACGCUCUCUUCAUGCUUGAACCACUGGCCUAACGAUUUCACGUUUUUUCCCCAUUUUCCUGUAUUAUUAUUUGUCGUUGUUCCUGUUGCAGUUCAGUGACCAUGAAUUAUUGAAUGUCUGCUCGUUCAGUAACUCUUUACUUCCACCUCGGCACACUGCAGCCUCGCAGCUGCACAGGACGGCCGCCAGCACCGCUCCCAGCCUGGAAAAUCUGCUGCCCCCCAUCCCGCUGCCCCCCAUCCCGCUGCCCCCUGCCCUGUGUGCCCUGCCCCACUGCUCCCAUCCCAUUGCUCUUCUCUGCACUGUGCCCUGUGUUGCUGCCUCCCAUCCUGCAGAUCCCAUCCCAUUGCUUCCCAUCCUGCUGCCCCCAACACUGCAGACUCCAUCCCAUCUCCCCACUUCCCGCUGCCCCCAUCCUUCUGCAUUCUGCCCCACAGCUCCACAUCCCAUUGCCCCACAGCACGUUCCCAUCUCUGCUCCUAUCCUUCAGCCUGUCCCCAGUGGGAUGGGGAGCACCAGGAGCUGGCUGCCUCGAGGAGCCCUGGAGGGGGUGUGGGUGGCAUCGGGACAACUGGGGCCUGUGGGGGCUGCGAGCAAUAGGGCAGUGCUGGGCGGAUGGGACACGCUGUGGCCAGGAGCAGGUUGGCACUUCGUUCCCAAAAAGCUGCUGCUUUCUCCACGGUGCUUUUGUGCUUAGGGCAGAGCUGAGAAAUCUCUGCUGGUAUUGUGGGAUUUCGCAGGAGUGAAGAAUAAAGUCUCUGAACUCCCUACAGCUGCAUUUUCUGAGCGCUGCAACACUCUGAUACCUCCAAAACACUAUUAAGCACCUGGUGCCAGGUUGUCUUUGCGACCGUGUGUCCUAAAUAAAUCCCUUCCCCAUGCUGAGCUGUGCUAAUGGCCAAUUGUUAAGUGGCCAGCCAAUGCAGAGUAAUAUGAAAUCAUUCUUCUUUUUUCAAGUCAUACCAGCAAAAAAUAAUUUGUCCGGCAUCUUUCUUGUAGGAUGAAGCCGAAACUGGGAAGCGGCAAAUCCCAGCUUGCACGCCCUUGGCCCUUUGCACGUGUGUGUGCAAAGUGCAUCCCAUGCCCCAGCCCCACUGCCUGGCACCCACGUGCUCGUCUCUCACUGCCGCCGUCUUGCACAUAAGUGGGCUCCUUGGGAGACUCGCUCCAUUUUUUUUCCCUUUAACCUUGAAAUGCAAUUUCCUCCCCCAAAAUACCCUUUUUUUUCCUGUAAACAACAUCUCUUUAGUGAGAUUACAGCAGAAAUCCCUGAGCUGCCGGGUCCCGGGCACUUUAUCACCCGGUGAGCCCCAUCCGUCACGGCUGUGCGUGUGUUCCCACGUCCCGCCCCAGCUGCCGAGCGAUGCUCUUUUCAUCAUUUUUACAGAUUUAUUUUACAAU